AUGCAUUAACUGUUUGUUCUAUUAACAAGGAAUAGAGGUUAGGGUGCUUUGCGAAAAAGCUAAGGAGGUUUUAAUGGAAGAAAGCAAUGUUCAGGCCAACUGUUCAAUCUGUUCAAAGCUCACAAAGAUCCUAGACAAAAUCCAAUUGCUCACAAGAUUAUUUUGUGCUCUUUUGUUUUAUUUGUGAAUAUCACU